ACUGAGAGACGUGAGGAUGGUGUUCCUGGUGGGCUGAAGGGACUGUAGUACCUUGGACCGAGCGGUUGCUGGCAGGGACCAGGAAGGCAAGAGGGAGCUCCUGGCUGGCUGUUGCGACUUGGUAGCUCUAAGCCCCAAGACAAGGUGAAUAAGGUGAAGGGCUGUGGAGAAGUGGCCCAAGGAAUCAUAGCAGCAUAGUGUGGACAGUUCAAAGGGAUACAGCAGGCUAGUGCUAUUCAGAAGAUUCUUGGGCUGGAAGCCAGAAUAGUGGGUGGGCCUGGUUCUUCCUCCCCGCACCUGCCACAGGUGGAGUGGCCUUAAUCCCAGAGAGGUGAAUUGAACCAAGCCCUGGGGAGGGGAGAGACACACCCCAAAGAAGGUCAAUGAUAUUGAACUGUCUGGAUUUUGAUACACUCCCGGAAGGAGACCUGAACUGUUUAGUGGCUCAGCUGGAGAGCUCAGCCCAGAAAGGGUGAAGACAUCGUCUCCAAGGAGGGAAGCCUGGAGGUCUGGCUCAAUACUGGGGCCGGGACUGUUUAAAGACCUGAGCCCAGGGACAGGGUUACAGUUAAAGAUGGUGUUGAGGGCACCAGAAGGACCCUGUUGGGCUGAUACUGCAGAAUGGGUCUGCUUUGUAUAUUUUUCACACAGACUGUAUGUUACUUGGCUGGAGGACUGCAUCACUGAAACCGCCUGAAAAAACACCGACUGGGGUCACCACAGGCUGAGAGAGGAACAGACGUGCACCCGGCCAGGGGGUGCUCUCAAGAGGUUUCAGGAUCACCCUCCCAUGUGGCCAGUAAGACAGAAAAAGGCAGUCAUGAUCCUCUACUGGCUUGUCUGAAAUUCCUAGGUUGAGAACCUAGGCCUAGGAUGUGUGAACAGAGUGUGGUUGUUACCUGCGAGAAGUCUACUCAUUCCAGUAUGAGAAUCAGAGAGAGAUCAUCCAACCCCUGUCAUGUGUAGCAAAGUUGUCUUCAAUGAAGUUUCACUACUACUUCCUUUAGACAUGAGGGCACGUUCUUAUUCCAAAGAAGACUCUAGUAUGCCAUCACCUCCCAACCAUUGAAAAGAAUUUUUUUCAUGCAAGGAUCCAUGGCCAGCAGCAAUAUUUAACAGUUUUGAACUGGGAGCAAAGCUAAAACUACCCUACCGGGCCACAACAUAAGGUAUAACACUAAGUUCUGGUGAGUAACUGAAUGAUGUCCCGUAUGUUCAAAAUUGUGUCUUAAAAGAAAAAACAAUUUAGAAAUUAGUCACAGCUAUUGAAUCAGGUUGUCUCUGACAAUUGUUGACGGUCCAGAUUAAUAGGACUGUCCAGUAUCUGUCCUUCAGAGAUGUAGACAAUUAUUCAAGGGCAUUUUCUUCCUGGUCAAAUGCACAUGUUGAAGACAUGGUAGCAACCUUGCAGCAACAGAAGUGAUUCUGCAGAUUAAGAUUAUUUUGCAAAACAAAUCACUGCUUUUCUCUAACAAGCCAGAUUUGGUCAAGAAUGGACUGGCCUCAGGGUGUUACUAGUGUAAAUGUAAUUAUGAACUUUCACUGCUCUGGUAGCAUCUUGAUAAAGAAUGUGCAAAGGUAAGAUGCCUUUAGCACCUUACUUGAUCUCAUAGGAUUUGCUAGGUUCUUUGGAUGUGUACGUACUCCUCCCACAUCAGAAGACUUGAGCACAUAACCCAAAUGUUGCAGAAUACGAUGCUCUGAUAGCAGAACUUUCCUAGAAGCAAUCAAGUCCAAUGGAAAAAUCAAGGCUGUCAGUACUGUUUUUGUGCGGAGUUACAAUAGCGUUCUGGAUUCGCUCCAGUGCAUCCAUAAGCUAGCAAUGUCUGUUAGUAAAUGGAUAUGAUCUUUGUACAUAUUAGCCAUAUAAAAAUAUCCUCAAAUUAUACAUGUUUUGAGAUUCAGAUAUCAUGAAUAGCAUAGACUUAUAUAAUUCCUGGAGGAAUUUCCCCAGACACAUAUGAUGAUCAGUACCAUACGUUCAGAGAAUUCUAAAACUAGUUCUGCCUGCAUAUAAAACCAAAUGCUCACACUAUAGUACAUUGUCUUUAAACGUUGUGGUCUAGACACAGGACUGGAUCUAAAACCCUUGGCUGCUUCAUUAUCCCCAAUCUCAGUCACUAUAUUACCAAAAAAAAGUAUGUACUAGGCAGUAGGAACAAGAUCUCUCAUAAGUCUGGCACAUCAUAAACCCAAAUAGUUGCCUGUGUUCAUACCUAUGUAGUCCAAUUGUGUUAUGUUACAGUUUCUCUCUGUUUUUGCAUCAGAUAUAAAAGCUUUGAAUUUUAUGAAUGCUGCCAGUAUUCAGUCUAUGGACAAUGAGUAGUUACGCUUAUUUGGUGGAUUUUUCCAUUAUGAAAAUGUGAAUAAUAUGAAUAGAAAGAUAUUUAAAUUGAAUAUAGGAGCUAUGUCAAACUCAUUCCUAUUUGAGAUGAAACCUCAUUUCUUUUCCAGCCUUAUCUUAUUGCCAUUGCUGAAGAUGAUCCCUCUUCUAAAAUACUUGAAUGAUAGCUCUGUUCUUCUUUUAACAUCUUCAUUGACAAGCCUUCAUAUACAAAAAUGCUGAUACUCUUGCAGACUUCUGAGCCAUUUUCCUUCCCUUUAGUGUACAGUUUUUGCAUUAUGUAGGCUUGUUCUCUUCACUAUGUAACCUUUUUGUUUUUACUUGGUAAUAUGAUUGUUUUUAAAUUGUCUAGCAUUAUGAGGUUCUUUAGCUCCAUUUAAGUGACAGUGUGUCCUACCAUCACAUUCUUCAUUUUUCUCAGUGAUUAAAUGUAUAAUUUAUUUUAAACAAGGUAAGGAUUCUAACUCUGAUGUGAGGAAAUGUAGUUAAAGCUGCUGCUUCAUUCUCAAAUCACCCUGUGGUGUGUAGGCACUCUAUUAAGAAAGCCACAGAACAGCAGGUAACCUUUUAUCUUAUGUUUCUGCAAUGUACAUACCAUAUGUGCUACACAGUCCACUGCAUACGCUAUGUAAGAUCACCCACUGUUCUAGAAGCCCUGCUGUACUGAGGUACAACCAGGUGAGCUAAGUGUGGCUUAGCGGCCUGACUCAAAUAUAUUUGUAAUUCUGAACUCUAUAUUUCUCAAUCUGGGAUGUUAAAACAACUUCUUUUUCUUAGAGCACUUCCAUUCUCCAUUUUAAAUGACUUGUUUCU